CUCAUGUUUGUACAGUUAACUUUUCCUUCUUACGGGAAAAGAGAAAAGGGAGACCUCUCCAAUGUCUCACACCAUAAGAGAAGAGAGAGGACUGGAACCCUUGACAAUUUCGUGGAAAAUGAGGCUGAAAAAAUAAUUUUUUUUGGUCUUUUUUGUCUUUUUAGGGCCUCACCCAAGGCAUAUGGAAUUUCCCAGCCUAGGGGUCCAUUCAGAACUGUCGCUGCCGGCCUACACCACAGCCACAGCAAUGCCAGAUCCAAGCCACGUCUGCAACCUACACCACAGCUCAUGGCAACGCCAGAUCCUUAACCCACUGAGCAAGGCCAGGGAUUGAACCCAAAACCUCAUGGUUCCUAGUCGGAUUUGUUUCCGAUGCACCAUAACAGGAACUCCUGAAAAAAUAAAUUUACAAGGAACAAUGGAUGAUAAGAUACAAUUCCUUUCUCUCAUCUCAGUUGAAGAUAUUGGCUCCUUUUCUCAAAUUGAACAGAAAGAAGUUCUCCAUGUGAGGGUAAAAGGAGCCCAGGUUUUCACUGACUAGCUAACUGUGUGGCUGUGGGCAAGAGCCACAGCCUUCCUGGGUCUCCGCGUCCUUAUCUCUGAAACAGAAAUGAGAAAGACUAGUCUCUCCAGGUGCUUGAAAGAGUUAAGUGAGAUAACCUAUGAAAGCCCCUCGUUUGCAGUAGUCAUUCAAGAAACAAACUUAUGCUACAUCCUCAAUGGAAGAGAUAGAGCCCCUGCAUUCAGGAACUAGAGUUCAGAAGCCUUGGAAUAACUCAGUUACUGGCCUCUGUCAGCACCAGAAAGGAAUCAGACCUGGAACCCACUCUCUCCCACUCUGAACCACCCCAGGAACACUUGCCUCAAACUGGCUCUUAGGAACGAGUCACCUGAUCCCAUGGAGGCCUCCAUCCUUUACCCAUAAGUAUAUCUAUGAAGCACACUUUGUUAUUUAAAACAGGGUGCACCAAAAAUUCAGUGUCAGAAUAGCUCUGUAUUCCAAGGGCUAUGGUCUGGACCCUCUCCCUUAAAACCCCUUCACCCUAACCCUUGCUAGGCCUGAGCCCAUAUCACAAAGCUAUAUGCAAUGAUGUGGAAGCCAUCUCCUCUAAUAUAAACCUAUGAGGUAGGUACAAGCAGGAAGGCAAAAUGGGGAAUGAUUCAGUUUAUGUCAAAUCCUUGUAUUGCUGAACAAAGCAAAUCCUUGUAUUGCUGAACAAAGCCUAUAGAAUCAGUUUCAUAAUUUUUUUUAAAGCAAAAAAAAAUUUUAACUGAAAAUUUCCAUGAAGCCUCUCUCAGCAAGAUUCAUUCAUUAAUCUGUUAUGUAUACCUCCGUAUCUAACCAUUCCUCUCUUUAUGCCUUGGUUCUAAAAAUCCCUCUAAAUACCUCUAAAUAAUAUACUUUAAUUCUGUAUGAGAGUUCCUUCUCAAAUAUCCAAAUCCAAUGUCCUUACGACACAUGAUUUAAAAUAAUGAUUAGAAAUAUUUCCAAUUCUUUGCUUCACAUUCUACAGAGAGAUGUUACAGGAACCCAAACAUGAAGGCCUUUUGGGAUACACUAGCAUAAGGAAGGUAAACAACCAGAAACACCAUGAACCCUCUUGUUCGGUGUGUAUAGUACCAAGCAUUAAUCCACAGGGAAGAUAUUUAGAAAUGCCACUGAUGACAUAACACUCAUAAGGAGAAAAUGUAAUGGUGGACUAAAGGAGGAAAAUCUGACAUUUCUAAGUGGUUGUUUUUGUAUGUGUAAAUACAAGUGAUUUCUCCCUCUUUUUGUUCUCUUAUUCUCUAUUGUCAGUUUUUUAGGUUUUUGUUUUUUGGUUUUUGUCUCUUUUUGUCUUUUUUAGGGCUGCAACUGCAGCAUAUGGAGUUCCCAGGCUAGGGGUCCAGUUGGAGCUGUAGCUGCCGGCCUACACCACAGCCACAGCAAUGCCAGAUCCUUAACCCACUGAGCAAGGCCAGGUAUCAAACCUGCAUCCUCAUGGAUGCUAGCUGGGUUUGUUAACCGCUGAGACACGAUGGAAACUCCAACAUAUCGGUUUUAAAAUAAAGAAAAAUCCAUAUUACAUAAAAUCUAAGUAUGAUCCAUUUUUAUUUACUUUUUUUUGGUCAGCUUCAGUGAUGCACAAUUUGCAUUUUUCAAAAAUUACCAAUUUUAAGUACACAAUUUGGUAAGCUUUGACAAAUGGAUCCAGAUGUGUGACCAUCAUCACAACCACGACAAAGAAGAUUUCCAUUAUCACAAGUUCUCUCAUACAUUUUUGUAAAACCUCUUCACCCUAGUCCCUGGCUUUGGCGACUGCUGAUUUGCUUUCUAUCACUAUGGUUUUGCCUUUUCUAGAAUUUCAUAUAGUAGAAAUUAUACAACAUGAAGACUCCUGCACCUGGCUCUUUCACCUUUUAGAUGUAUUCAUAAUAUUGUAUGUAUCCAUAGUUUAUUCGUUUUAUUGUUGAAUACUAGUUCAUUAUAUGUAUACACCACUCUAUGUUUAUCUAUUCACUGUUUAUGAAACAACAUUUGGGUUGUUUCCAGUUUGGGGCUACUAUGACUAUUUGGAUGCAAGUUUUUAUGUUUUCAUUUCUCUUUGUUUAGUACCCAGAAGUGGAAUUAGUGAGAUAUACGCUAGGCAUGUGUUUAACUUUUUAGGAAGGUAGCAAACUGUUUUCCAAAGUAGCUACAUAUUUUUGCAUUCCUACAAGUAAUGCAUGAGCGCUCCAGUUGUUCUGCCAAUCUUUUAAAUUUAGCUAUUCUAGUUGGUAUGUAAUGGUAUCACAUCGUGGUUUUAAUUUGCAUUUUCUUAUGACUGAUUGUAAGAAUAAGAUGUCAUUGGUAUCUGAUAUGCUAAUAAGAAAGAAAAAAAGUUGUGAUUAGACAAUGAUACAGUGCUUUAUCCCUUAAAAAUUGUAUUUCAUUGUCUCCCUAAAAAGCCUUCUUAGGAGUUCCUGUUGUGGCUUAGCGGAUUAAGAACCUGACUAGUAUCUUGAAAAUGUGGGUUCGAUCCCUGGGCUCGAUCCUGGGCCAGCUCAUUGCCAUGAGCUAUGACGUAGGUCACAGAUGUGGUUCAGAACCGGUGUUGCUGUGGCUAUGGCAUGGGCCAGCAGUGGCAACCCCAAUUUGACCCCUAGUCCAGGAACUUCCACAUGCCAUAGGAGCAGCCCUUAAAAGAAAACAAAUAAAUAAAAAGCCCUCUAAAAGCAGAAUGUAAAUAUUCUGGCCAAGUGUAUAUGCAUAUGUUACAUAUAUAUAUUAUACGUGCGUGUGCAUGCAAGGCGAUGUAGAUGUUAAUUAAGUAGAUGGGAGGAAUUCUUUCAAAAUGUAUACAUAUAUCAAAUCAUCAUGAUGUACAUUUUAAAUCUCUUAUAAUUUUGUCAAUUAUACUCCAAUAAAGCUGAAGUUUUUUUAAUUUGAUCAAUUUUUUAAAAAGGUUUUUUGAAAAGUUCUUUAAUUUAUUAUUUAGGCAUAGUCUUUUUAUCAUUAAUACCUUGCAUACAUUUUAUAUAUAUAUAUACAAAAUUAAUUGGUGAAGAAAACCCUAAAACUUCUUCAAAUUUAGAGUCCAGCUCUUCCCAAUUACCUUUCGGCUCAGUUAUUGAUGUUAGUGUUUUCCAUAUUGAUGUUACUUUUGUGUCAACCAUGGUAUUGGAAUGGCAGCUUUUUGUUUUGAAGUCUGCACCAUUGUUGCUUCUGAGAUUUUUUUCUCCAAGCCACUGACAACAUUCUACAGAUUUUGAUGCUGACACUUACUUGAUCUGACUAGACUGAACCAGACUGAAUUCCUUAUCAGAAAAGAUGAACCUUCCUUCUUCAAAUGUCUUAGAGAUUGAAAUAGCCAAAUGUUUCAGUUUUAAAACCAUGUUACCAACAACAACAACCAAGAUUGCAUAUGCCCAGGCAAUGACAAAUGAUUCAGCUGCCCUGAGGUAGUUAAAUAUCAGCAAUUAUAAGAUACAUUCCAGUUUUGGAUAUGUAAGAAUAUGUAAAAAGGUGCAUCUUGGAAACAUGAAAUACAGUACCAAACAAGUGUACUCUUUAAAAGUUGUCUUCUUUAUCUUAGAUCUGCGUAUUUCAAUACAGAAAACACAAAACAGAAAACCAUCAUUCUUAAACUGCAUCAUGCAAUUUAGCAACUAAUUAAUCAUAGUCUUAAAAUACACUAUAAUGGUUUGCAAUUUAGCUUUUUCUUCCCAAGUAGACCACAAGUCCCUCUCCUUCAGGAAUUUUACCUUUGUUUCCUCUCAUAUUGUUUACAGCACUGCUACUCAAAUUUUACGUAAUGAUCCACUAGAGUCAUGAAAUCAUUUUUGUGAGUCAUGACCAGCACUUUUUUUUUUUUUGGCUGAGCUAACAGCAUAUAGAAGUUCCUGGGCCAGGGAUUGGAACUAAGCCACAGCAGUGACAAUGCUGAAUCCUUAACCCUCUGCACCACCAAGAGAACUCCAUGACCAGCACUUUUUAAACAAAACUGAAUAGAAUUUAAAAUGUAAACGUGCAAUACAUAUUAAAGAUAAGGACUGCUUUAUAAACUUUUCAAACAUUUCAAAAAUGUUUGUUUUGGUCAAGUAUAUAUUUGAGCACUGGUUGUGAUAUCAAAUGUAUUUCUUAAAGCAUGUCAUAAUAAAAAAAUGUUUGAAAACAUUACUAUAACAGCAUGAGAAGCAUUCAAUAAUAUCAAUUAAUUGAUUUUUACAGACAGAAGCAAAUUUUAAAUUUCAUUAAGUGACCUCAAAUUUUGGUCCAGUUCUUUAAAAGUUAUUAUCAUAUUGAUAUAUUUUAUCUUCUUUCGGUGAAGGCAAUAUUAGAAAAAACCUUGUACUAUUAGUUUACGUGACUGAAAUAUCAUGAUUUAACAUAUUUCUGUUUCUAAGAGGAAGAGUCUCAAUUUCUGAGUCACAAAUGAGAUAAUCAGAAUUCAGUCAUUUGAACUGGACCAAGACUUUUGAGUUAUGGGUGGUUAAUUAUUUAGCACCCUUUCAAACAGAGAUUCUUUAAACAAUUAUUCAACCAUUAUUUGAAAGAAAGCUCUCUCUUCAAUUCUUCAAUCAGUAAGUCUGGCCCCAAAUCUGCAAACUCAAACCUGAUCCAAAACUGCAAAAAGCCUGAUCCAUCUCCCUUGAAAGCAGAUUCAAGACUACUUAUCUGCAGUUUUUCAAAUGCACCAUUUGAUCGGACCUUACAUCUCACGCACACAAAAUAGCUAUUAUCUCCUUACCUCCUGCUUCCAACUAAAUUUGAUAGUCCUCCAGGAAGAAUUCUAGUACAUACAAUUUCUUCCAUCUCUUACUUCUCUGGUAAUGUCCAACUCCCUGACAAACUGAAUUGCUUCAGAGCUUUCUGGCUAACUUACCUCUUACUCCCCUUAGUCUAGCUCUGGCUAUAACAGGAAAGCCUCUACCCUGGGGUCAGAUCUGAGUGCCUAUCCUAGUCAUGUCACAUAAUAAAUGAUCUUUGGUAUUUUACGUAGAUGCACUGGACUCCAAUUUCCUCAUCUGUAAACAAAAUGAGCUCUCUGAAUUUAUGUGACCUGAUGUUCUAUCUCUCUAAUUCUGUAACUUUGAUGAAUAGUUUUCACAUUUGCUCUAAGAAAGAGAGGUUAUAAGAAGUGGAAGAAUGGGAGUUCCCUUUGUGGCUCAGAGGUAAGGAACCAGACUAGUAUCCAUGAGGAUGUGGGUUCGAUCCCUGGCCUUGUUCAGUGGGUUAAGGAUCUGGUGUUACCGUGAGCUGUGGGGUAGGUCACAGAUGUGGUCUGGAUCCUGAGAUGCUGUGGCUGUGGUGUAGGCUGCCAGCUGCAGCUCUGAUUCAAUCUCUAACUUGGAAACAUCCACAUAUGCUAUGUGUGCAGCCUAAAAAGACAAAAAGUGGAAGUAUAGAUGCAAGGCCAUGCUCUCCUUUAACCCUUAGAAAUUCUACUAUAAUCAGUUUUGUUUGUUAAACCUGAGGGAGAUUUUAUUUGAAUGAAUGAUUCCUUGAACAAAAUAAAUAAAUAUAUUAUAGGAAACAUAUCCUUUUC
rnacentral:lncRNA from 1 species